AGAAUCAACGCUGGCGGCGUGCCUAACACAUGCAAGUCGAACGAGAAAGUGGAGCAAUCCAUGAGUAAAGUGGCGCACGGGUGAGUAACACGUGACUAACCUACCCUUGAGUGGGGGAUAACCUAGGGAAACCUGGGCUAAUACCGCAUAAUACCUUCGGGUCAAAGGAGCAAUUCGCUUAAGGAGGGGGUCGCGGCCGAUUAGUUAGUUGGCGGGGUAAUGGCCCACCAAGACGAUGAUCGGUAUCCGGCCUGAGAGGGCGCACGGACACACUGGAACUGAAACACGGUCCAGACUCCUACGGGAGGCAGCAGUGGGGAAUUUUGCGCAAUGGGGGAAACCCUGACGCAGCAACGCCGCGUGGAGGAUGAAGCCCCUUGGGGCGUAAACUCCUUUCGAUCGGGACGAUUAUGACGGUACCGGAAGAAGAAGCCCCGGCUAACUUCGCGCCAGCAGCCGC
rnacentral:rRNA from 1 species